rnacentral:ncRNA from 12 species
ACAUGUUUACGGUAGACUCCAGCCGUCGGAGACAGUAAUGUCUUCGUUUAUUAUCUCGCUAUAUGCUGGAAAGACCCUUUUUAAAAAUAAGUGCUCAUCUAAAGUUAAGAUAGCUAAAAUCUUAUUUUUACGAGGUUUCCCAGCCGGAAAUUAAAACUGGAAUUAAAAUGUUUACUACAACUACUCAAGUUUUAAAAUCCUCAGAGACUGCACGCGGGAAAUCCUGACAAUGGUUAAUUGGGUUAGUUGAAUCUCAAGGCUGCUUAAGCGUAGCUCGAAAAUCUCAUAAUACAGAAGAGCUUUCUCUUUCUGUUUCUCGUCCCCUUAAAGACACUCAAGUUCUUUAUUAUAUAAAAGGCUUAUUCGGGUAUGGUCAUGUUAAACUUUUAACAACUGCAAAAUAUUAUGUUGCAAACAAGAGACUUUUAAUGAAUGUUCUUCCACUUAAAUGCUCGGGCGAUGGGGCUCGACUUGCAGGGCUAGUGGAUGGAGAAGGUGUAUUCAUUGUUUCUUUAAAACAUAAUCCUAAUGGCCCUAAAAAAAAGAACGUGAGUUUUUCUUUAAUCAUAUCACAAGUAGAAGGGGUUGUUUUGAAACCAUUUCUUGAAAAAUUAGGGGGAAGAAUAAGAAAAAAUGAAAAGGGAGGUACUUUUAAAUGAGUAAUACAAGAAAAAGGGGAUUUAAUUCGAAUCGUGCGCCUUUUUAAAAAAUAUUCCUUACGAACUAAGAAAAGGGUUGAUUUUUUGAAGUGGUGCAAAGUAUUAGAGCUAACUAAUUAUAAAUCAGGAUUAAGGUACAGUCCGAACCAUGGUGAAAGCUUUGGUCGGGAAACACUUUAAUAGACAAAGUGUUUUCAAACAUAUUAGUGGAAUGGAUGUUG